AAAAUGCGAUAAGUAGUGUGAAUUGCAGAUUUUAGUGAAUCAUCAAAUCUUUGAACGCACAUUGCGCCUAUUAGAACUCUAAUAGGCAUGCCUAUUCAAGCGUCAUUAUCUCACUCAAGCAGUGGCUUGGUGUUGGGUCGUCGUCCCCUCCGGGGGACGGGCCCGAAAGGCAGCGGCGACACCGCGUCCGGUCCUCGAGCGUAUGGGGCUUUGUCACCCGCUCGAUAAGGACCGGCCGGGCGCCAGCCGGCGUCUCCAACCUUUUUUUCUCAGGUUGACCUCGGAUCAGGUAGGGAUACCCGCUGAACUUAAGC
rnacentral:misc_RNA from 1 species